UCCUGACUGACCGAUAGUGAACCAGUACCGUGAGGGAAAGGCGAAAAGAACCCCGGCGAGGGGAGUGAAAAAGAACCUGAAACCGUGUACGUACAAGCAGUGGGAGCACGCUUAGGCGUGUGACUGCGUACCUUUUGUAUAAUGGGUCAGCGACUUAUAUUCUGUAGCAAGGUUAACCGAAUAGGGGAGCCGAAGGGAAACCGAGUCUUAACUGGGCGUUAAGUUGCAGGGUAUAGACCCGAAACCCGGUGAUCUAGCCAUGGGCAGGUUGAAGGUUGGGUAACACUAACUGGAGGACCGAACCGACUAAUGUUGAAAAAUUAGCGGAUGACUUGUGGCUGGGGGUGAAAGGCCAAUCAAACCGGGAGAUAGCUGGUUCUCCCCGAAAGCUAUUUAGGUAGCGCCUCGUGAAUUCAUCUCCGGGGGUAGAGCACUGUUUCGGCAAGGGGGUCAUCCCGACUUACCAACCCGAUGCAAACUGCGAAUACCGGAGAAUGUUAUCACGGGAGACACACGGCGGGUGCUAACGUCCGUCGUGAAGAGGGAAACAACCCAGACCGCCAGCUAAGGUCCCAAAGUCAUGGUUAAGUGGGAAACGAUGUGGGAAGGCCCAGACAGCCAGGAUGUUGGCUUAGAAGCAGCCAUCAUUUAAAGAAAGCGUAAUAGCUCACUGGUCGAGUCGGCCUGCGCGGAAGAUGUAACGGGGCUAAACCAUGCACCGAAGCUGCGGCAGCGACGCUUAUGCGUUGUUGGGUAGGGGAGCGUUCUGUAAGCCUGCGAAGGUGUGCUGUGAGGCAUGCUGGAGGUAUCAGAAGUGCGAAUGCUGACAUAAGUAACGAUAAAGCGGGUGAAAAGCCCGCUCGCCGGAAGACCAAGGGUUCCUGUCCAACGUUAAUCGGGGCAGGGUGAGUCGACCCCUAAGGCGAGGCCGAAAGGCGUAGUCGAUGGGAAACAGGUUAAUAUUCCUGUACUUGGUAUUACUGCGAAGGGGGGACGGAGAAGGCUAUGUUGGCCGGGCGACGGUUGUCCCGGUUUAAGCGUGUAGGCUGGUUUUCCAGGCAAAUCCGGAAAAUCAAGGCUGAGGCGUGAUGACGAGGCACUACGGUGCUGAAGCAACAAAUGCCCUGCUUCCAGGAAAAGCCUCUAAGCAUCAGGUAACAUCAAAUCGUACCCCAAACCGACACAGGUGGUCAGGUAGAGAAUACCAAGGCGCUUGAGAGAACUCGGGUGAAGGAACUAGGCAAAAUGGUGCCGUAACUUCGGGAGAAGGCACGC
rnacentral:rRNA from 1 species